rnacentral:rRNA from 1 species
UUAACACCUCAUGGUAUUAUAGAACCUGCAUGGUUUUAUAAUUAAAGGUUACGGUAUAAGAUGAGUAUGCGUCCUAUUAGCUAGAUGGUAAGGUAACGGCUUACCAUGCGGACGGGUGAGUAAUACUUAGGAAUCUGCCCAAUAGUGGGGGACAACUCGAGGAAACUCGAGCUAAUACCGCAUACGCCCUACGGGGGAAAGCGGAGGAUCUUUCGGGACUUCGCGCUAUUGGAUGAGCCUAAGUCGGAUUAGCUUGUUGGUGGGGUAAAGGCCUACCAAGGCGACGAUCCGUAGCUGGUCUGAGAGGGGGAUCCCCCACACUGGUACUGAGACACGGACCAGACUCCUACGGGAGGCAGCAGUGGGGAAUAUUGCACAAUGGGCGCAAGCCUGAUGCAGCCAUGCCGCGUGUAUGAAGAAGGCCUUCGGGUUGUAAAGUACUUUCAGCGGGGAGGAAGGUGUUGAGGUUAAUAACCUCAGCAAUUGACGUUACCCGCAGAAGAAGCACCGGCUAACUCCGUGCCAGCAGCCGCGGUAAUACGGAGGGUGCAAGCGUUAAUCGGAAUUACUGGGCGUAAAGCGCACGCAGGCGGUCUGUCAAGUCGGAUGUGAAAUCCCCGGGCUCAACCUGGGAACUGCAUUCGAAACUGGCAGGCUGGAGUCUUGUAGAGGGGGGUAGAAUUCCAGGUGUAGCGGUGAAAUGCGUAGAGAUCUGGAGGAAUACCGGUGGCGAAGGCGGCCCCCUGGACAAAGACUGACGCUCAGGUGCGAAAGCGUGGGGAGCAAACAGGAUUAGAUACCCCUGGUAGUCCACGCUGUAAACGAUGUCGACUUGGAGGUUGUUCCCUUGAGGAGUGGCUUCCGGAGCUAACGCGUUAAGUCGACCGCCCUGGGGAGUACGGCCGCAAGGUUAAAACUCAAAUGAAUUGACGGGGGCCCCGCACAAGCGGU